rnacentral:pre_miRNA from 1 species
AUUGAAAUUGCUGGGCCAUCUGGUAACUCUAUGUUUAACUUUUUGAGGGACUUCUAAACUGUUUUCCAAAGUGGCUUCACCAUUUUACAUUCCCACCAGCAGU